rnacentral:rRNA from 1 species
UACGUAGGGGGCAAGCGUUGUCCGGAAUCAUUGGGCGUAAAGAGCGUGUAGGCGGCUCGGUAAGUCCGCUGUGAAAGUCCAGGGCUCAACCCUGGAAUGCCGGUGGAAACUGUCGAGCUAGAGUCCGGAAGAGGCGAGUGGAAUUCCUGGUGUAGCGGUGAAAUGCGCAGAUAUCAGGAGGAACACCAAUGGCGAAGGCAGCUCGCUGGGACGGUACUGACGCUGAGGAGCGAAAGCGUGGGGGAGCGAACAGG